AAGUUUUAAACUCCGUUGGCUUUUGGGUUUUUAUUUAAUUUCUACGGCAGUUGUUUACCGAACCCUAGAUUUUACCCGAACCCCGGCGAUUUCUUAUUUGAUUUGUUGCGACUGCGUCAUAUGCACCAGCCAGGCCAGUCAUCGUCUUCCCGCAUUGCUCAAUCGCCGUCUCUGGUUCGCCUGUUUCUGUGAGUGUUCGAACCAACUUCGUCGGAAACCAGAGCUAGCCAGUGGAUGCAAUGCAGUUAAUAUGAUGACCAAUUGUUCAUCCAAGAUUGUGACCUCUCUGGCUGGACCCAUCUUAUUGUCAAAUGUUUCAAAAGAGGCUCCCUGUUGAUAGAUCCCCCAAUCAUCCAUGUAGGAAGGAAGCAGUGAGGGAGGGAGGAGGGAAUUACAGAAAACAGAAAUGCUUCCCGCGCCAGCCGCAGACGCAUCCAUUGUGGAACUGUUCCAUGUGUGAAAGUAAAGGUUUUCCUUUUUUCCCUUUUUAUUUUUUUGGGCGCAGUGCACGUGGUGCGAAUUUUGGUGGUUUGUAUAUUUAAAUCCAUCCCCUUUUCACCAGGUUGGUGGAAUUCAUGGUGUGUGCAUCACCCAGCUGCUUUUGAAAUCUAACUUGCAUGCUAUUGGCUUC